rnacentral:misc_RNA from 1 species
CAGUCAUAGCACUGCUGCUUGAGCAAAAUCAGCAGAGCACCGCUCAAUUUGACGCUGAACAGAACUGGAAGUGCAAAUGCACUCUUUAGAAGAGAGUUUGCCAAUCGUAGACGAGAUCCCGUUAUUGACGUCACGCUGACCAACAACGUGACGCAGGCUGAGCGACAGCGGCGCGUCACCAACGUGACGGAGCUGGAGCGUAACGUGACGCAGGUGACGGAGGACGGGCCGCCCGGCACCGCGGCCAACCUGACCAGCCGCCUGCAGCGCCGCAGUCUGGGCAGCCGCGUCCUCACCACCAACUCGGAGUCGAGGGCGCGCGGAGUCGAGAUCCGACUCAGCUUCGACGAUACCGGAUCCACGUUACAACUAUCGGCCGACAAUCGACGCACCCUCACUGACAUCCAACGAGACGACAACGACCGAACGAUUGUCAGAAAUUCAACCGACAUCUUCACCGAAACUGGAUUUUCGAGACGAAUACGCAACAUGCGACGAAAUAGAGACAGAGUAAACACUGCCAAUGUUAAUGAGACUCAAACAAACUUAUCCGUGGGUCUCGGGAUUCAACCUCGUAAUAGAACCGUUCUCCUACGGUGACCACAAGCCAGGAGACACACUUCGAACGCUACAGAGAAGAAUGGGAAACCUUUAUUUUCGUAUACUUGGGAAUGAUAAAAGGCGCAGCCAUACAAGCAGUCAACUGACCGUAAACCGAAUCAAACAACUUGAUUUACACUGACUUCUAACGGAAACAGUGGAAUCACAAGUAAAUUAUGCAAGAUCCCGUAUGAAUCAAAUUUAGCUUUUUUUGGUAGAACUCUUGUUUUCAAUAAAUAAUUGGGUUAAAAAUGCACAGAAAGCUGGAAUACACUGAGGAGCUG